rnacentral:rRNA from 1 species
GACGAACGCUGGCGGCGUGCUUAACACAUGCAAGUCGAGCGGAGCGAUGGUGCUUGCACUAUCACUUAGCGGCGGACGGGUGAGUAAUGCUUAGGAAUCUGCCUAUUAGUGGGGGACAACAUCUCGAAAGGGAUGCUAAUACCGCAUACGUCCUACGGGAGAAAGCAGGGGACCACUUGUGACCUUGCGCUAAUAGAUGAGCCUAAGUCGGAUUAGCUAGUUGGUGGGGUAAAGGCCUACCAAGGCGACGAUCUGUAGCGGGUCUGAGAGGAUGAUCCGCCACACUGGGACUGGAACACGGCCCAGACUCCUACGGGAGGCAGCAGUGGGGAAUAUUGGACGAUGGGGGGAACCCUGAUCCAGCCAUGCCGCGUGUGUGAAGAAGGCCUUAUGGUUGUAAAGCACUUUAAGCGAGGAGGAGGCUCUUUUGGUUAAUACCCAGAAUGAGUGGACGUUACUCGCAGAAUAAGCACCGGCUAACUCUGUACCAGCCGCCGCGGUAACAC